rnacentral:lncRNA from 1 species
GUCAGAGAAGAAGAAGAAGGUGUUGAAGGAGACAGUCAGAGACAAUCCCGUUAAGCACUCCUUUAAGAACAAGGGCACUACGAAGACACAGGGUUGAAGAAGACAGUCAGAGACAAUCUCGUUAAGCACUCCUUUAAGAACAAGGGCACUGCGAAGACACAGGGCCCUUCCUCUAGCGCCAAUCCUGUUGGUGCAAAAAUCCAUCGACGUCGGAGAAGCUGGAGUCGAGGGAGUCGC